rnacentral:lncRNA from 1 species
UUGAAAUAAAUGAGCACAAGUCAAGAAGGUACUGAACUCGAUGGGAAGAAGUGAUGAAAGAAGCUAGAUCAUACAUCCGGUGGUUUGAUCAUAAGUGCAUUCAACGCAUGUCGUACGGACUUUGUGAUCAAAGUAAAUGGGUUAUCAUGGAUAUAAGAAGAAGCUUAAGAGUGUGAAGGAUGAAGGCAAGUAGUACAAAUGAAGACAUGAGCUAUCGUCCAUGAGUUGUUGUGAUUAACAACAAGGGACCGAUCGAUCUAUAAGAAGCUAGAUUAUACAUCCGGUGGUUUGAUCAUAAGUGCAUUCAACGCAUGUCAUACGGACUUUGUGAUCAAAGUAAAUGGGUUAUCAUGGAUAUAAGAAGAAGCUUAAGAGUGUGAAGGCUGAAGGCAAGUAGUACAAAUGAAGACAUGAGCUAUCGUCCAUGAGUUGUUGUGAUUAACAACAAGGGACCGAUCGAUCUAUAUACUAGAACGAUCGGUCCGAAGGAACU